GCGGUGUGCGGCACCGCGAGACAUCAACCGGGCCUGAGGCCCGAAAGCAGACGGAAGACAGAAA
rnacentral:ncRNA from 1 species